GCUAUGAACGUGUUGCAGAUGCUCAUUCUUUCCUUUUAAGAAAAAAAGGAAAAAUAAAAAACUUGUCGGUUUGUCUUUUUCCAUUUUCACAUACGAUUCAUUAUUCAAUUCAAGCAAUAUUGCUCAAAUUAAACUCUGUUGGAUAAUCUGUGGAUUAAUUCGGGUUAACAGGUUUUAAAACCAUUGAAGAAUGGUCAGAUUAGAGUAGAAGAUACUGAGAGAAGAUAAGAGUUGUAUAUGAACUAAUGGUUUCAAUAAAAACGGUGUACUUUGUGGCUUUGUUAGUAUAAACCAAAGAUGGUGAGAAAGAG